rnacentral:rRNA from 1 species
CGGGAACCGUGAGACAGGUGCUGCAUGGCUGUCGUCAGCUCGUGUUGUGAAAUGUUGGGUUAAGUCCCGCAACGAGCGCAACCCUUAUCCUUUGUUGCCAGCGGUUAGGCCGGGAACUCAAAGGAGACUGCCAGUGAUAAACUGGAGGAAGGUGGGGAUGACGUCAAGUCAUCAUGGCCCUUACGACCAGGGCUACACACGUGCUACAAUGGCGCAUACAAAGAGAAGCGACCU